rnacentral:lncRNA from 1 species
CCAAAAUUAGAUCUCUUUCAUCAAUCUCUCUCUGCUGGAAGUUGAGGUUAACCUCACGGGAGUUUAGGUCCUCGACCUCGCCGACUCCACAGCCUCCUCAUCUCUCUUUGGCCUCUCUUUGCAGGAGAUCAAGAUAAACAAGAUGGCUGUAGGCAGAGUUUUUGUUCCUAACAAGACGUUGGUCUCCUCUCCCAAGUUUCCAACAGGUUGUUUUCCUCUCCCAAGUUCCCAACAAACAAGAAGGCGUGCUCUCCUCUCCCAGAUAACCAAGGUUCAACAUUCCUUUUCCCAAAUUGAUUAUUCUUUUCUUUGCCAAAUUGAUUAUUUUUUUCUUUGCCCAAAUUGUUUCUUCACUCUUUACAACUUAUUCUUUCCUUUGCCAAGGGCAAAAUGUGUGCUCUCUCUGAUCCUCUCCACUCCACGCCACACCAUCUCUCUCAUAUUACAAAGUACUUGGAAUUUCAAGCCAUGAAAUGAUUGCAAGAAGAAACAAAGCAAAUCAGAAGGUGAAUCCCUAAUUUGUCAAUGCUUUCCAUAUAUAAUUUGUUUUAAGUAGAAAUUUUCAUAUAUUAUUUUUGUACUUAUUUUACUAGAAUUUUUUGCUAGUUGAUGAUUGUAUUUUCUUGAGUUCUUGAUUGUUGCUUGUUGAUGAUUGUACUUGCUUUAUUAUUAUUUUUAUCUUCAAUUUUCUUUUGUAUGCAACAUAGAUGUAAGUGAUGCCAUUAAGGAUGAUUUUUAUUUAAUUUAUGGAUUUUAAAAUUUUAAAAUUUGUUAUUUUACUUGUACAUAUAAGGCCUCAUCAGUUUUCUUUGCACAUAUGAGAACUUUUGGUUUUUCUAGAAAUUGCAGUAUAUUUUUCGAUCUUCUUCUUCUAUUGCAUUAUUCAUAUUUUGUUGUGAAACUCAAUUGUUCUGCGGCUGAGUUAUGUUUUUUGAAGUUAAUGAAAAUUAUGCAAUUGUUUCAUUAGUGGAUAUUCCUUUCCAACUGUCAUUCAAUGUUUGUUUUCAUGAAGUUUUUGGGUUGUUGUUUUGUUAGUGUUGUAGUAGAUUGAUCAGAAAUUGCAGAGCAGUUUCCUGUUUCAUAUUUCUAUUUUAGAAUAAUUUUUGCAAGUCUAUGGGAAUAUUAUGAUUGUUCAUCGACUUAAUUGUGCUUUGAACUUAGUUUUAGUACUUUAAUUAUGGCUUUGCCAUUUGGUUUCUAUGCAAACACGGGCAGAUGUUUUGUCAUAAAAUGCAUUAUAGUUCUGUUUAUUGCAAUUUUUGAUAAGAAAUUGCAGUGCAGUUUCCUGUUCCAUAUUUCGAUUUUAGAAUAAUUUUUCCAAGUCUAUGGGAAUGUUACAAUUGCUCAUCUACUUAUAUGUGUUUUGAACAUAGUUUUAGCACUUUGAUCAUGGCUUUGCCUUUUGGUUUCUUUUCACUUUUGGGCAUAUUUUUUUUUUUUUCAUAAACUGCACUGAAGUUUCUGUUUGUUGCAUUUUUUUAUUUAUCAAAAACUGCAAUGCAGUUUCCUAUUCCAUAAUUUGAUUUUAGAACAAUUUUUCCAAGUCUAUAGGAAUGUUACAACUGCUCAUCUACUUAUAUGUGUAUUGAACUUAAUUUUAGUACUUUGAUCAUGGCUUUGCCUUUUGGUUUCUUUUCAUAUUUAAGCAGAUUUUUUUUAUUUUUUUUUACAUUUUUUUAUCAAAAACUGCAGUGCAGUUUCCUAUUCCAUAUUUCAAUUUUAGAAUAAUUUUUGCAACUCGAUGAGAAUAUUACAGCUGUUCAUCGAAUUAAAUGUGUUUUGAACUUAGUUUUAGUACUUUGAUCAUGGCUUUGCCUUUUGGUUUCUUUUCACAUUUGAGCAAAUGUUGUCAUAAACUGCAUUGCAGUUUCAAUUUGUUGCAAUUUUUGAUAAGAAACUGCAGUGCAGUUUCCUGUUCCUUAUUUCGAUUUUAGAAUAAUUUUUCCAAGUCUAUGGGAAUAUUACAACUGCUCAUCUACUUAUAUGUGUUUUGAACUUAGUUUUAGUACUUUGAUCAUGGCUUUGCCUUUUGGUUUCUUUUCACUUUUGGGCAUAUUUUUUUCAUAAACUGCACUGAAGUUUCUGUUUGUUGCAUUUUUUUAUUAUCAGAAACUGCAAUGUAGUUUCCUGUUCCAUAUUUCAAUUUUAGAAUAAUUUUUUCAAAUCUAUGGGAAUGCUAGAGAUGCUCAUUGACUUAAAUGUGUUCUGAACUUAGUUUUAGUACUUUGAUCAUGGCUUUGCCUUUUAGUUUCUUUGCAAAUUUGAGCAAAUGUUGUCAUAAACUAUGUUGCAAUUUUAGUUUGUUGUAGUUUUUUUAUCAGAAACUGCAGUGCAAUUUCCUGUUCCAUUUUCGUUUGUUGCAUCUUAUUAUAAGAUUAUAUGACAGUAGAAAUAUAUAACAAAUCUUUUCUCAGAUUAGGCUGACCACAUCAUUGUUGUAAUCAACAACCUCAUCUUCCUCUUCUUCUUCUCCAGCUUCUGUUUUUGCUUUCCCUUUCUUUGUUUUCUUCUUUUGUUUUGUGUUGGCCUUUUCUUUCUUUGGUUUGUUUGCCAUGACAAUUUUCUUUUGUAAUUCUUCUUCUACGAGGCCUUUUGAUGGUUUUUUUUUUUUUUUUGUUUUUUUUUGUUUUUUGUUUUACAGUGAAUCUAUGCUGAAAUAUUUUUUAUUUUUUUAUUUUUUUAAUCGGUGAUUGUUUAUAUAAAUAUUGUGUAAUUGAAUAGAUAUCACAAAAACAAGUUUGGUGUAGUGGUUUUUGAGUGAGGCUUCCUCCUUUGAGGGUCAAGUUUCAACUCCCUUUAAUGACACAAAUUCUUCUAUUUUUUUAGGGUGAAUAAAGGGCAAUGGAGUUAGUCCCUGGUUGGUCGGAGAUGGGCGACGGCAGGUGGCGGUGGCGGUAGGUGGCGGCAGCUAGUCGACGGUGGUUGAUCAGCGGCGGCUCUAGUGGCUAACCUGCGGCGGUGGUGGCAGUUGGCAGGAAGGAGGUUGGCGGCAGGUGGUGAUGGUUGACCUGCGACGGUGGCAGUUAGCCGGAAGGAGGUUGUCCGAUGGCAGGUGGUGGUGGUUGGCCUUGUGCUAAUUUUGAUAUUAAAGGAGUCGCAUUGUGUGUAAUUUUAAUUUUUUUUAAUUACAUUAUUAUAAAAUUAGAACUACUUUUUUGUCUUUGGCCUUAUGCUAAUUAGGUGAAAUUGUAUUCCUAUCUUCCAAAUUAGUAAACUAUAUAGUGUCUUAAAAAUGAAAGAUC